UUUGUAUUUUUAAUAGUCUGCAGUCUGUUAUGGGACUGUGCUCUUUGGAUGAAUACAUGGAGUGAGUAAAAUUUACCAUGUAACUUUUAAGCUUUGUUUUCAUACAAGGAAGGUCAAGUCUCCCAUUUUUGAAGGGCAUCUAAAUUCAGGUUACACAUGGCCAUGAACUGCAAAGGUGCCCUACAGCAUAGAGAAGUGAUUUAUUUUUAUAGAGUACCUCUUAUGCAAUACCAGAAAUUGAAUUGAUUUGUGCAGUCAGAAAGAUCGGUUUCUAUAUUCAAAGCUGCAAUCAUUAUAUAUACAACUGUAUACCAAGCUAAUGUAACAAUAUCAGCAACAACAACAAAAAAUAGUAAUUCACAGGCACAUUACCUUGUAGUAUUAAAGAGAAACAUGUGGUUGAAAAAUACUUAUUCUUAAGGGGACAUAAGUUAAAGAUUUUCAUUGAUGUGGUCCUUUAUAAGUUGAAGAGAUCUACACAUUAACUAAUAAGAUUUGAGUUCAAAACAGCUAGUUAAUGAAAAUCUUGUCUUAAAGUGAAACUUAUUUAUUUGUAAAGAAAAAUUAUAACUACUACAUGCAAACUUAUAUGAAUUAGGUAAAGAACCCCUGAGAACUCCAGAAAAAUUUUCUGAGGAAAUUAAAAAACAAGUAAAAUGUAAACCUUUAAAUAGACAUAUUCAAGCUGAGGUAUGAGGAAGCAAUAAAAAUAUUGGGCGUGUGUGUGUGUCAGAGUGAGAGAGACAGGGAGAGGGCAGUAGAAAAAAAAACAGAAAGUAGAAAUGAAAUAAAGAUUCCAUUCUUAUAUAAAGGGAGAGAAGUUAAAAUAAUUAGGGGGAAAAAAAGCAGAAGAGGCUAUUUUUUCAUUAAGAAGUACAAAGAACACAAGAGUAACACUGUUUCUAAGGCGUACCUUAUGAUCCUUAGGUAGCUUUCAAACGGGUCUCUAUCUGGAUCAAGCCAGGUGGGAAUUUUAGACCUAAGCCUGUGAGGCUCCUCCCAUCUGCCCAUGGAGCCCGCCCUGUGACAAACCUGCACCGUUUCAUCACUAGGCUCUGGCCUCUUGCCACAGUUGACAGCAUGACACUGAGGUCAGAGCCAGUGGGGUGCCUUCUGCACUGCACUCUAGGACUGUCCAAACUGGGCCUGUAUAACUUCUAACUUCCAGCUCUAGGAUUCCAGAAAUAGUGACGGGGUCCCAGUCUCAAACUAUAUUUAAAUUCAUGUUUGUAUGAGUAAGUAGAAACCUACUAAUAUUUUAACCCCUAAAAAAUCAACAGCAAACAAUUUACAGAAUCUUUAUUGCAAACAGAGGUCAUUAAUAGUUAUUACAAAUUGAAUUAACUGAAACUCAAGUUAGCGAUCUGAAACAGAUUUAUAGGUUUAUUUUGUAUGGCAUAAUCUGUAAUGUUUGCCCCCUCAACACUUUUUAAAAGAAAACUAAAUUUAUCAGCAUUUCAAUGGUAUCUGUUUUGUCAAGUUUAGCACUGGAACAUUCUUACCCUCUUAAAAAAAACUCAUUCAAAUUAGGCAGAAUUUCUACCUUUCAUCACAAACCUAUUACACAAAAUUUGUUUUUUCAUAAUGCAAAAA